rnacentral:sRNA from 1 species
CAGGGUUCAAAGGUCAGGCUUUAUCUGCUUGCAGAAUAAAGCCUGAGGUUGGAACCCGCCUAAAACAUGAGCAUGGAAACCGAUAGGUUGGAAUGCGAAUGUUUUCUGAAUUGCGGGAGCCUGCAGGGCGGAGCAAUUCA